rnacentral:rRNA from 1 species
GGCGUAAGCGCGCGCAGGUGGCUAUGUAAGUCUGAUGUUAAAGCCCGAGGCUCAACCUCGGUUCGCAUUGGAAACUGUGUAGCUUGAGUGCAGGAGAGGAAAGUGGUAUUCCACGUGUAGCGGUGAAAUGCGUAGAGAUGUGGAGGAACACCAGUGGCGAAGGCGACUUUCUGGCCUGUAACUGACACUGAGGCGCGAAAGCGUGGGGAGCAAACAGGAUUAGAUACCCUGGUAGUCCACGCCGUAAACGAUGAGUGCUAGGUGUU